GUAGGUGGCAAGCGUUGUCCGGAAUUAUUGGGCGUAAAGCGCGCGCAGGUGGUUUCUUAAGUCUGAUGUGAAAGCCCACGGCUCAACCGUGGAGGGUCAUUGGAAACUGGGGAACUUGAGUGCAGAAGAGGAAAGUGGAAUUCCACGUGUAGCGGUGAAAUGCGUAGAGAUGUGGAGGAACACCAGUGGCGAAGGCGACUUUCUGGUCUGUAACUGACACUGAGGCGCGAAAGCGUGGGGAGCAAACAGGGAUUAGAUACCCUGGUAGUCCACGCCGUAAACGAUGAGUGCUAAGUGUUAGGGGGUUUCCGCCCCCUUAGUGCUGCAGCUAACGCAUUAAGCACUCCGCCUGGGGAUACGGCCGCAAGGCUG
rnacentral:rRNA from 1 species